rnacentral:lncRNA from 1 species
ACUAAAUCAGCGUGGGCCUGAUUCACAGCACCCUGGGCCAGGCCGAGCACCCCGAGAGGAGUGUGCGACCCUCCUGCAGCACAGGCAGUACUGGGCACGCAGCCUCCACAGAGCACCUUGAAAGGCAGCAGGUGUCCGGCCACGGCCCACCAUGGCUGCCCCUGGCCUAGAAGGCAAUGAUAUCAUGAGGAAUUAUCAGGUGGGGGGUAUUGAUAGAUCUGGACUGUCCCCUAAAGGCUCGGUGUUGAAGGCUUGGUCCCCAUGCAGCAGGGUCCCAAAGUGGGGCUCUGGGAAGGUGAUUGGACCCUGAGGGCUCUGACCUCACCAGUGGGUUAGUCCACUGAUGGAUUCACAGUGGGAUGGACCACAGGGAGGUGCUGGCCACUGUAGAAGGGGGGUCAUAGUUGAAGGGGGUGAUACCCUGGGGAACUAUAUAUUGCUCCCAAACAUACACACUUUCUCCCCGAUCCUGCCCCCCGUCUUUCUCUCUCUCUCCCCCCUCCCCCCUUCCUGGCUGCUGGGAACUGAGCAGCUAUCCUCUGUCACACCCUUCUCAUGAUAUUCCGCCUCAUCUCAGGCCAAAGCCAUGGAGCCAGCCCACCAUGGAUUGAAACCUCAGAAACCGAUGAAGUAUUUUCUCCUUUAAGUUGUUUUUCUCAAGUAUGUUGUCAUAGUGACAAAAAACUGACUACCACAGAAGUCUUAAGGUCUCACCCCAAUCCUAAGGGUCCCCCCCCUGAGAAUCAGCUUAGCUGAUUGGGCCAGGAAGGUAAGGGGAAGACUAAAGGGGAGAAGGGCCCACCUCUGUGAUGUCACCCUGUCCUCCAUGGCUAAAGUUCCUGUCCCCGUUCCCGUGGCUAUGGCUUCCAAAGUGGGAAGAACAUACCCUGGGAGUUAAAUAAUAAUAAUAAUAAUUAGGACAGCAGGAAGAAAAAAAUUGCAAUUUCCAUUUAUGUUUUAUCUUCAUUAGCUUUUCCCCUUCUAUUUCUUAAUAUCCUGCUCGCAGCCUUACAUGUAUAAAACUUAUAAAGUAAUACAAUUAUUUUGAAGGACAUGCAAAUCCAAAAUGAUCUUAGGUCCCUGCCCUGGGGAACCAGGGACAAUCAAAUUGUGCUUGAUUGAUUCAGGGGACCCAGGCGAGCAGGUUCGUUGGGGGUAAGGCCUGGAGUCCCAUGGAUUGAAGCACACAGGGGACCCACCUCAGGAAAGGGAGGAGGAGACAGAGGAGGGGAGAGCACAGGGCAGAAAAACCGAGCAGAUGACAGAGAAUCAGACAAGCUGAGUCCGGAAGCUCAGAGUCAGGUGAGUCCUGGGGGAGGCACAGGGAAGGGAGGCAGAACAGCGAGAGGCUGCUUCCCGGGAAAAGUCAGGGCGGGGCUGGCUAAUUAUAGGGAUGCCCAUUCUGGCCUUCCACCCCCAAUCCCUUCUGCAUCCCUCUGUAGCCAUGGGGGUUUGGUUCCAGGAUCCCCCACAGAUACCCAGCUCUGCAGAUGCUUGAGUCCUUUAUAUAAAAUGAUGAGGUAUUUGCAUAUAACCUAGGCAACAUCUCCAUGUACGCUUUCAAUCAUCUCUAGAUCGCUUAUAAUACAAAAUACAAUGUACAUGCCAUGUAAAUAGUUGUUAAACUGUAUCGUUUAGGGAAUAAGACAAGGGAAAGGAUCCUGCAUAUGUCUGGCAUGGAAGUAUUUUUUUUUUUUCAAAUAUUUCCAACCAGCACCGAAUUGAAUCCAUGAACAUGAGCCCCACAGGUACCCAGGUCUGCCUCUGUAUUCCUUUAUACUGGUUCAAACUGGAGAAGGACAGAGGAGCCACCUACAGCCAGGGGUGCUCCAAGUCCCUGGGAUUUUCCCUGGCUCAGGUGAGGAAAAGGAUUGCUUUUCCACUGGCCACAGGACCCCAUUGUCCUUUUUAGCAUCUGGGUGAUAAACCAGCCAAUUUCCUGUUGGGUUGCCUGAGCCAGGAGAUUUCCCACUGAUGACAUUUCUCCUGUGAUUUGCACCCAGGGGAAUCCUCCAAGGUAAUUGCUAUUAUCACACCACUGGGAGUUCAUCUUGGGAGCAUUUGGGUCUUGCUGAUUUAAUAACCCAAACCCUGGAGUCUAUGCUGUGGGGAAAACGUUCAACGUGAUGUAAAGAACGAGCCAGCAUCCAGCAUCUUCUCCUGCAGGUCAGACCCAAGCUUACUUAAGAGAGUAAGAGUAAAAAGUGCAAGAGGAACAUUGACUUGUUUAACUGACCAUAGAUCUUCCUGGCAAUUAUUUGCAGCAAAGAUAGGGGCCCUUUCCAAGGUCAUGGGCCUGGGCACGGCUGGGUGAGAAAAAGUGGGUGAUUGGCUUUUUCAAUGAGUUUGCUGAUUUUUCUAGCAGGUGGAUGUCUCUUCUUUCAGGCCUGGCGCUCAGCCUGGCCUCCUGGACCAGCUGUGUCUGGAUGAAGGCAAAGAUGAGGCUCCUGCCCUGGAGCCUGGAGCAGCCAAGACCUUGAGCCCAGACCCCAGCUCAAGGUGGAUCCCCCACCGCACCCUCUCGGAGGAGGCAGCCUGGAGGAGCAGCAGGCCACUGGGUGGGGAGCAGGGUGGGGUCACAGCGCCUGCGUCUGGGCUCGCAUGGCCCACGAUGGUUCCCUGGUUGGGCUCCACCCGACUUCCAGACUCGGAUUCCCCAUACGUGACCCAGAGGUGGUUUCAUGGGGUGGAACCUUCCAUUUUCAGAUGAAGACGUUGAGGCCUGUGGGAGCAUCCGUGACCUAGGGCCUCCGGUCGUUUCCUAACUGGAUUGCUUCAGGCCAGUGUGGCCGUCCACCCUGUGGGAAGGCGCUGGGAGGCAUGGCCUGCAUCUUGUCCUCAGACUUGACCUUGGGCAAGUGCUCGGGUCUCAAUGACGAAUGAUUGACUCACUGUGUGAACGAGUGGAUGCACGGACGGAGUGGCAGCCGACCCGGGAUGCCCAGAUCCAGGUCUGGGGCUGGGUGGCACCUGGCUCAGGUAAGCACUGAUACACAGUACCCAGCGUCAUGGCGGAAGGACCCCGCUUUUCCAGUUACAGGAAAUCUGGGUGAAGGAGCAUCAGGGAGACCAUGGCCCUUGGACUGCCCUGCAGACUGGGGCAGGCACGGGAGCGCCAGUCUGGGGGAAUGUCACCCCACACGAAAGGGAUCUCUCGCUAGUGACUCUGCCCUCUGAAUCAGAGCUGACGGGGCUGAGUGACCAGGUGGGUGGCGAUAGGGUGACCUAUCUCAUCCUCCUUUGUAGUAUAGACUUGUCUUCCUCCUGACUGGAGGAAAGAGGCAAAGACCAUUUUUAUUUAUCCCCUCAAUGGGCUUGAAACCUCUUUCCUGCCCUCUCAUAUCCUUUCUUUGCAUCCCCUCUAUCUCUAUCCCCCUUUAUUGAGUCUAAGGCCACUUGAGUGUACAGCCUGAGAGUGGCAUCUAUCUGGAGUUGUGCAGUGUUCAACCAGGGUAGCUGUAUAUAGCAGCCCUGAAAGACUCCCAGAGAUUCAGAGCUCUGAGACCCUAGAGAGCCUGGAUCAUAAUCUCUCAACUUAAAAGGGAAGAAAUUGAGGCUCCAUGUGGAGAAAAGAUUUUUUCAAAGUCUUUGUGUUCAUCAGCUUUGUGUCACUAUGACCAAAAAUGCCUGACAAGAACAGCUUGGAGAAGGAAGAUUCAUUGUGGCUCACAGUCUCAGAGGUUCAGUCUAUGGUCCAUCGGUUCCAAGGGAGAGAAAUCGUGGUGGAAGCUCAUGGCAGAGGAGAGCUGCUCAGCUCAUGGCAGCCAGAGAGCAGAGAGAGAGAGGGGAGGA